GAAUGUUGACCAUGCAGAGAACAUUUUCUUUGAAUGCUUAGGUUAGGAACAUUUUCUUUGAACAAUAAGGCUAACCUGUGGAGAUAAGGAGAUCAAGGAUUUGGUGGAACACGUUUUGUAGAACCAUCUUAAAAAUACAGUUGAUAAAAUUUCUAAAUGAAGACCAAGAUAAAGGGAACAAGAUCAGAAAACGUCAUCCUCACAGAAAUUAUUAAGAAUCCACACACCAUGUAUGAAAUGAGCUAAUCCUGGAAGCAUUUCUAGAAGUCAUGGCUGUGCAGGAUAAUUUUGAGGGAAACUCUCCAUUAAAUCCAGCUCUAAGAACUCAAUCCCGGGCACCAGCUCUCCUGGCUGAACUCUGGUCUGGAUCUGUCCUGUCUCCUACCAGAAAGCAUUCAAUGUUAUAGAAGCACAUUUAUGACAGCGGCAACAUGGAAAGUCACGUGGCCAUAUUCCAGAUACCUCUGAAGUCUUAAUCUAAAAGAGUGAUAAUGUGGGGUUAUCAGGUACAAUGGCAGGCAGAAGUUUCAAAGUAGAAUGCCUAACAGAACAUCUCAACUAAGAAUAUGAAAGCAACUGCUUACUCUACCUACUUAAAAGGCAGCUACAUUCCUGCAUGUCUGGAAACAAAAGAUAUAAACAUAUCUUCAUCGUCAAAAGACAAGGUGUUAAGAAUUCUUUCUCAGCAGGGGAUAAGAUGCAAUAAAACAAUUUCACGUGAAAAUAAGUUUCCUAUACUUGACUGGCAAAUAUGUACUUUGAGACAUUUUAUGUGUCCCAAGUAAACAUGUGUUCUGAAUAAAUAAGUCCCUCCAAAAUUCAUAUGUUGAGGCCUUAACUCCACCGUGAUAGUAUUUGGAGGCAGAGCUUUGGGAGGUACUUAGGUUUAGAAGGGUU